CUCUUAUCAAGAGCAGGUGGAGGGACGAGCCCGAUGAAGCCCGGCAACCGGCGGUAACGCACGGUGCUAAUUCUUGCAGCAAUAGGCUGAGAGAUAAGAG
rfam:Anoxybacillus flavithermus strain 25 c41, whole genome shotgun sequence.